GAGCGCGUAGCUCAGUUGGUAGAGCAACGGACUUUUAAUCUGUAGGUCCAGGGUUCGAAUCCCUGCGCGCUCA
rnacentral:tRNA from 10 species